GUCGGAGUUCAGUCUUCCCAGGCCCACCACGCUUCGCCGUCGGCUUCGCAUGGCACCGCCAGGCAGAACGACGAGGCGAAGCGCGUCCGGCAUAGCCCGAAGGGCGACGCCGGACAGAAAGAGCGCUUCGUCUUCUGGUUACGGGGCCAUAGCUCAGCUGGGAGAGCGCGUGCUUUGCAAGCAUGAGGUCGUCGGUUCGAUCCCGUCUGGCUCCACCAGAUGGUUUGAUCACCGAGAUCUUGACCGUCGUCCGCGAAACAUCACUUCGCAUCCUGCUAGUCUGGAUAGACAGCAAGUUGCGUGUUUUCUGACAUCGUAAAGAGGAGAUCGAUCCGAGUUGGAUCGUGCAACAUAUCGUUGCGCGAGCCUUCAUUAUCUCCGGAUCAUUUCGGCGCUCGCUUCCAGCCGUGAGGUUGGAUGCGGGUUGUAAAUGAUCCUUUUAGCGAAGCUUGACCGCCUCGCUAUCGGAACGAUCUUACGAAGCAAGCUGGUCUUUCUAGUCAAUGUCCGGCUGUACGUAGCAUUCAUCGAGGGUGCGCGCCCGAGAUUUCGGUCUCUUGGCAAUCGUACAGACAACAUUCUGCCGAGUGUGUGGACAUUGAUAAUGAGAGCAAUCAAGUGCCUUAAGGGUGUUCGGUGGAUGCCUUGGCGCUGAGAGGCGAUGAAGGACGUGCUACGCUGCGAUAAGCCGUGGGGAGCUGCGAAGAAGCUUUGAUCCGCGGAUUUCCGAUGG
rnacentral:misc_RNA from 1 species